GUACCCCAAACCGACACAGGUGGUCAGGUAGAGAAUACCAAGGCGCUUGAGAGAACUCGGGUGAAGGAACUAGGCAAAAUGGUGCCGUAACUUCGGGAGAAGGCACGCUGACACGUAGGUGAAGUGAUUUACUCAUGGAGCUGAAGUCAGUCGAAGAUACCAGCUGGCUGCAACUGUUUAUUAAAAACACAGCACUGUGCAAACACGAAAGUGGACGUAUACGGUGUGACGCCUGCCCGGUGCCGGAAGGUUAAUUGAUGGGGUCAGCGUAAGCGAAGCUCCUGAUCGAAGCCCCGGUAAACGGCGGCCGUAACUAUAACGGUCCUAAGGUAGCGAAAUUCCUUGUCGGGUAAGUUCCGACCUGCACGAAUGGCGUAAUGAUGGCCAGGCUGUCUCCACCCGAGACUCAGUGAAAUUGAACUCGCUGUGAAGAUGCAGUGUACCCGCGGCAAGACGGAAAGACCCCGUGAACCUUUACUAUAGCUUGACACUGAACAUUGAGCCUUGAUGUGUAGGAUAGGUGGGAGGCUUUGAAGUGUGGACGCCAGUCUGCAUGGAGCCGACCUUGAAAUACCACCCUUUAAUGUUUGAUGUUCUAACGUGGACCCGUAAUCCGGGUUGCGGACAGUGUCUGGUGGGUAGUUUGACUGGGGCGGUCUCCUCCUAAAGAGUAACGGAGGAGCACGAAGGUUGGCUAAUCCUGGUCGGACAUCAGGAGGUUAGUGCAAUGGCAUAAGCCAGCUUGACUGCGAGCGUGACGGCGCGAGCAGGUGCGAAAGCAGGUCAUAGUGAUCCGGUGGUUCUGAAUGGAAGGGCCAUCGCUCAACGGAUAAAAGGUACUCCGGGGAUAACAGGCUGAUACCGCCCAAGAGUUCAUAUCGACGGCGGUGUUUGGCACCUCGAUGUCGGCUCAUCACAUCCUGGGGCUGAAGUAGGUCCCAAGGGUAUGGCUGUUCGCCAUUUAAAGUGGUACGCGAGCUGGGUUUAGAACGUCGUGAGACAGUUCGGUCCCUAUCUGCCGUGGGCGCUGGAGAACUGAGGGGGGCUGCUCCUAGUACGAGAGGACCGGAGUGGACGCAUCACUGGUGUUCGGGUUGUCAUGCCAAUGGCACUGCCCGGUAGCUAAAUGCGGAAGAGAUAAGUGCUGAAAGCAUCUAAGCACGAAACUUGCCCCGAGAUGAGUUCUCCCUGAGACUUAGAGUCUCCUGAAGGAACGUUGAAGACGACGACGUUGAUAGGCCGGGUGUGUAAGCGCAGCGAUGCGUUGAGCUAACCGGUACUAAUGAACCGUGAGGCUUAACCUUACA
rnacentral:rRNA from 1 species